rnacentral:lncRNA from 1 species
AUUACACUGCACUGAAUAGUAUGUUACUAUUAUCUCCGUCCUCACUUCUUUCUAGGGAGUGGAACUACACAACAGUACCUGCCCUAUCCAGAAUAGCCUCCUCUCUCACUUUGACAGUUGGAGCAGCUAUCCUUUCACCCUCCAUGGCUGUUAGCUAGCUACCUACAAAUGCAUUUGGAGUUUUUACAGUGAUAAAUAUAUCAAGAUAGCUAGCUAAUAUGAAGUUAAGUAGCUGGUGAUAUUUAAUUCACAUAGCUAACGUGAACUCACCCCAUUCCGUACAAAUGUGCGCAACCGCGACAUUCAAACGAGGCUGCAAAGAAAACUAAUGGGACUGUAGCGACUGUUGACUUCAAAAUCUGGGGUGUGAACUACGUUUCUAUUCAAGCGCUGAUCGACAUGGUAAUGGCUCUAUAGUAUUGCAGAAAAGUUGAAAAAACGGACCCUCCGUUACAUCGUGACGUGUCAUGCCGUAACGUACAGCAAGCAUAAAGCAACUAUUUCUGUCUUACAAUCUCUCUCUCUACCAGGUGUAGCACUUCUCUCAUCGUUUAAAAACAAGAAAUGGACAGUGACGGGGUAAGGGGGAUACCUAGUCAUUUUUUGCGUCAUCACUGCAAGCGAUUAUGACUCUCAAAAGCCACUUGUUUACGUCUGAAGAUCACUUUAGCACCGCCCUAAAAACCCGAUUCAAAUUCGACACAAACCUUCAAAUAGAGAGGACUAGGACCUUGGGGAGGCUGCUAAUGCAGAGGCUGCACACGCUAGUGAAUGUUAUUCUUUCUUCAGCAAAGAUGACUGACAAAAAUACUAGAAUGGAAGCAAAUAGACUCCUGAAACAACCAGCAAACCAGGCUGUCGUCUUGUGAAACAGUGGACGUAAAGAAUCUAGCUAGCUAAAGCAUUUACUGCAAAUUGAAUGUGCAGCUUGCCUUGCUGAUAUUUGCCAUGCAAUGCAGAGAGAUGAAAUAUGUUCUUGCUUAUUGUGCAGUGGAGGAUAAAAAUACCUGUAUGCCUAUGGAUGUGUAGCUAGCUAUCUAGCCGAUCUGUGUAUGGAGCCAAACGUUUGGUAUACAUAUUAGUUCAGAACCUAGAUAUGAACCUCAGCUAUCAUAGCCAGUUGUAUCAACUUCAAAACAGUCUGACUGGCAUCAAUGAAGCCUAUGGAUUGAGUAGAAUAUAAUAUAACGUUGUGGCAAGGAUGCAAGUCAUAUAUACAUGUAGUUAUUACAUGCAUGAGAUCCCCACAUUGUAGUCUGUACAUUUAAUAUAUUCACUGAUCAUGUACUCUACCUUGGCAAAUAAAGGUGUAGUUCAGGUAUGAAUGUCUUUGAGAUUAUUUUUCAGUCAUAUCCAAUACCAUGAGUAUCAAAUUCCAGAUUCUGGAAUUGAAUGAUGCUGUGUCUGCAUGUAUGUAUUACAAUUAUACACUUCAACAGUGUUUACCAAUCCUGGUCCUGGGACAUCAAUGGUUACACAUUGUAACUAAUAGACUAGAAACAUGAUUUAACUAGUUAAAGGCUGAUUUGUAAUUCCUACAAACAGAAAUUGAAUUUAAAACAGAAUGCCCUUCAUCUGCAUUGAUCUGAUAAUCUAUAAAAUGCCAUUUAAAUGAGUAUAAAUCAAUAACUAUUUCACUGUUGUUGCAGAAACAUCAAACUUGGUAUGAUUUAUUAUAUAAAUGUCUUGCAUACUUUUACAACCUUCGUUUUGAAUACAAAUUCCAGCUUUGAUUUUAUAGAAAUACAUCAAAUCUUUAAAAUGCCAUUUUAAAUUGUAUAAAUCAUUUAUUAAUUUACCGUUUGUCACAGAAACAUCAAAGUUGUCACAAUUGUCGUGUGUGGAGGACCAAGACGCAGUGGGAAAAUGUAUACUCGUCUUUUUUUAUUGGUGAAGAAGGUAAACACUUACAACGUAUACAAAACAAAAACGAACUUGACAGUCUCGUCAGGCAAACAGCUAAACAAGAACAAUCUCCCACAAAAAUCCCAUGAAAAACAAACUCCUAAUUAUAGGACCCUCAAUAAGAGGCAACAAUAACCAGCUGCCUCCAAUUGAAGGUCCAACCCCAAUUAACUAAACAUAGAACUACAAAAGACUAGAUAGAACAUAGAAAUAUACUAACAUAGAACAAUGACUAACAAACCCCGGACUAAUAAAUCAAAUACCCUUCUACCUAAACACAUACACAAAACACACCCUGAACCACAUAAAACAAACACCCCCUGCCACGUCCUGACCAAACUACAAUAACAAAUAACUCCUAUACUGGUCAGGACGUCACAAAAGUAGACAUGAUUUAUUCUAGAAAUGUUUAGUGUACUUUUACAACCUUUAUUUUCAGUAAAAAAUGCUGUUUUAAUUUGAUAGAAAUACAAAAAAUCUAUAAGAUGCCCGUUAAAGCGGUAUAAAUCAAUAACUAAUUCACCGUUUGUCAUAGCAACAUAAAACUAGGUAUGAUUUAUUCUAUAAAUGUCCAGCAUACUUUUACAACCUUUUGUUUUGUUUAAACAUUACAGUUUUGAUUUGAUAGAAAUACAUAAAAUCUAUAAGAAGCACAUCAGCUGCUUAUCGUUGCCUCUGAUUGAAGGUCCUAUAAUUAGGAGUAUGUUUGUUAUGGGAUUUGUGGGAGGUUGUUCUUUGCACUGCUGUGGUUAGCCUGCAAGACUGUUCGUUCGUUCGUUCGUUCCUUUAAGUGUUCAAAAUAAAAAGUGAAAAUGAGCACUCAACCCGCUGCGCCUUGGUCCAAUUACUACGACGAACGUGACAGAACCUCCCACCUCCAAUGGACCAAGCAGUGGGGUAAGGAGCAUAAGAGGAAUUGUGUGGACUAUAAGGAGUACUGGACUUGGGAAGACAUCUUGGAGGGUAAAGGAUCCUACACAUGGGAUGAGAUCCAGGCUGGAUGGAAUCGCCUCCCAUGGAAACAGGUGGAAAUAGCGAGGGAGGAACGGCGAAGGUGGAAUGAAGACCGGGACUAUUAUAUGUGAACACGGCUGGCAAGGAAGCCGGAUAGGCAGCCCCAAAAAACAAAUUUGGGGGGGCACACGGGUAGUUUGGCUAGGGCAGGCAGUAGACCUGAGCCAACUAUCCGCGCUUAUUAUGGGGAACAGAGGAUCAGAAGAGCACCGUACUAUGCGGAAGUGCGCACGAUCUCGCCUAUGCGCACGAACAGUCCGGUGAAAAUGAUUCCAGCCCCUCGCAAGUGCCAUGCUCGAGUGAGCACUCAGGCCGUAGGGGUUGUAUGCUCCUGUCCUCCAGUGAUGCUUCACGGCCCAGUGUAUCCUGUUCCCGCUCCUCGCACUAGCCCUGAGGUGCGUGUCUCCAGUCUGAUACCUCCAGUACCAGCACCACGGACCAGGCUUCCAGUGCGUCAGCCCAGUCCAGUACGUCCUGUUCCCACUCCUCACACUAGCCUUGGGGUGCGUGUCUCCAGUCUGGUACCUCCACUACCAGCCCCACGCAUCAGGCUUUCAGUGCGCAGUCCCCGUCCAGAGCUUCCGACGACAGUACCCCGUCCAGAGCUUCCGGCGACAGUGCCUCGUCAGGGAGUGUCCGGCGACAGUGCCCCGUCUAGAGAUUGCCCACAGUCCGGAACCGAGUGAGACGGCCCACAGUCCGGAACCGAGUGAGUCGGCCCACAGUCCGGAACCGAGUGAGUCGGCCCACAGUCCGGAACCGAGUGAGUCGGCCCACAGUCCGGAACCGAGUGAGUCGGCCCACAGUCCGGAACCGAGUGAGUCGGCCCACAGUCCGGAGCUCCCAGAGUCGGCCCACAGUCCGGAGCUCCCAGAGUCGGCCCACAGUCCGGAGCUCCCAGAGUCGGCCCACAGUCCGGAGCUCCCAGAGUCGACCCACAGUCCGGAGCUCCCAGAGUCGCUCUUCUGCCCGAGGUCUACAGCGAAGCUCUUCUGCCCGAGGUCUACAGCGAAGCGCUUCAGCCCGAGGUCUACAGCGAAGCGCUUCAGCCCGAGGUCUACAGCGAGGCGCUUCAGCCAAAGGUAUUCUGCGGGGGUGGACAGGUUAG